UACGUGCACAUCAACACACACAUACACACACUAUCAUCCACUCGUGCGUGUGUGUGGCGGCGGUGGUCCAGCCGAUCACCUCGAGCUGCGCCUUGUCCCCUUUCCCUCCCCCCUCCACACACACACACACGCACGCACGCCCACACGCCACUCAUACACAGGACUCGUUUUGAUGCGUGAAAGGAGACGAGAACGAUGAAGGACAGCAGAGACUAUAUACUGCGUCUGUGGAGCCUGGCGGAGGACAUGGUGAUACACAGCGGCAAGCCUCUACAUGCGUUUCUUCUGCUGCACCACGUCUUGACAAAGCCACCCCCGUCGCUGCGGCGUGCGAGUGGAACGACGGCGGGCGAGCCUAGCAUCAACAGUAGCGGUGUUGGAGCAAGCACGGUCACGCUGCCCACAGCAGCAACGUCCGAGGCUGCACUCCCACUGCACGUUACCGCCUUUGAUGCCGAGUGGAAGUGCGAAGAACUUGUCACGCGGCUGCGUGCGGCCGAGUAUCUGCUGCUCGCAGACGUGCCUGCAGCACGCACAGCGGUGUCAUCGGCGAGUACCGCCGCGCCGGCCGCAUCGUCUCCGCGUACGCUCAGCUGCACCGCCGGCCUGGAGGCGCUAGAGCUGGCGGAGCAGGUGCUGGCGCCGGUCUUCGCAACGACAUCUCUCUCGGUGUCGACUGACACUGUCCCCGGAGCCGCGCCGCCGCCGCCGCCGUAUCAGCAGGCGUCUUCCACCGCGUCUUGGUGGCAUCGAAGGUGUCGUGCUUCCAAAGACUCUGCAGGAGGUGGCGACAAGAGCAGAGGCAGCUGCAGCGCUUCGUACUCCCUCGAUGACGUGCUGCGAGAGGUGGCGGACGUGAGCCGAAGCUCCGCCUCCGCGGCUGCCCGCUCGUCCUCUGAUUCAUUGGGGGCGAGCAUUGACGGCACCGGCGCGGGGGUACAGUCGCGGGUGGCGAGCAUGUAUUUCCUCAAUCAUGCUACCGUCACAGCCCUGGCCUGGCCGCUCUCCAGCUUCACGCUGGCCUGGCCGAUGCGUGAAGCAGCUGGGGAUGGUGCAGACAGGUCCCACCGUGCAAGCGGGGACGGCGAACAGCACCUCCGUUUUGGGCCGGCCAGUGAAACCAUAACCAUCUCGGUCUCGCUGGUCGUACGCGCGCAUGUGCUGCAGGCCUUCAUAUGUCACCGACGCGCUCAGCACAAACGCGCUCUACAGUGUCUGGCGGAGGCGCGGCAGUGGAUCGCGCAGCAGUAUACCGAUGCCGCGCGUGCGCGAACCGUGCGACUCUUGUGGGAAGACCUUCAAGAGCGCUGGGCGCCCCCCAGUCCGCCGCCGCCGCAGCAGCAGCAGCAGUCGUCCGGCACGUCUUCAUCGUCGUCAGCGACUGCCAUCUCCGCAGCCCAGCUGCCUCCCCUGCCGGCCUUUUAUCGGCUGAUCGAGCGUUUGAUUGCGGAGGAGGGCCGUUCCUGCGCUGCCAUGGUGCAGGUGGAGGAGUGCAAGGUGCACUACGCGAUCCUGCAGGCGUGUGGCUCGCUGCCGCCACCGCCUCCGCUGCCGGUGCGAACCUCCUCGAUUGCCGUGACAACCACCUUAGCCGAUGCCAGCGCCCAGAUGCAGGCACACGCCGCAGACCUGCGCCUGCAUUACCGCCGCUAUCAAGAGAGUCUCCAGCUUCUGCAUGUUUUAUCUCGGGCUUACAUGACGGUGGUGCGGUGGAUAGAAGAGGAGGCGCAGGGAGACGUGAUGACGGCUACUGCGGCAGAAGCGCCGCCUCCGAACGGAAGCAUGGACGUGCCGGAGCAAGGCGUGGCGUGGCGUGAGGCGCUGCGGUGCGUUCGGAGUCAACUGAGCCCGUUCUGCCUCUGCGCGCUGCAGUACACCUGCAACCGUGCUACUCCAGUGGCACCGCGCGGCCUCGCCACGGACACCGCGGCCACGACAACGACCGCCGACGUCUCUCCGUGCUACGCGCUCGGCUUCGAUGUCCGGCUGGCCGCGGAGGUUCUGGGCCUGUACCACUGCCUCAGCUACGUGUACCUGCUCUACCAGCAGUCUGCCGCGGCAUCGACGCUGCAGCCGCUUUCCGCGAAGCAUCACGAAUCGCUCUCUGUCGUUGAGCUUAUGGCACGAGGCACCGGCGGCGGCGGUUGCAGCGGGCAACAACCGUGCAACGGCAGCGCUAUGGAGGAGCGCACGAAGGACAGGCAUGCGAGUCGAGGAGACGACACGUUUGAGGCGACCAAGGAGGAGGUGGCGUUCCUGCGGCGCUACCGCAGCGACCCGGCCUACGUGGCGCUCUUCGGCGAUCACCAAAUCCGUCCUCAAGCACGGCAAACGCUCUCCUCCUUGGACGCGGCACUCGACACGGACGCCGCAGACGACGCAGACGUACUCGCCAUCACUCGCGAUUUGGUGCACAGCGCGGUGGAGCACGCUAAGAUCAACGCGUUCGUCUUCGGUCAAUGGCGUUUGGGUGACGCCGCCGUAACCGCGACGUUGCGCGCUCCAUCUUCCACCAGUGCGAACGUGAAGGGGGAGAAGCGACUGAAGACGGAGAGCGCUCAUAACGACGAGACCGGUGGUGCACGCGAUCAGUGCGAAGGGGUACAGGUCGCUCCACUCCUUCGUUGGUGCGCACCGAAAGAUGCUGAAGCAAGCACAGCACCUGCCACCGCGCACGAAGCCGCACUGUUGUGGUGCCUGGUGGAGUUGGGCCUACGGGAUAACUAUCCCUUCGUCAUUCGAUUCCUGCGGGAGCUGAGCGGCGCCCUGUCACGAGUGACCGGCAUCACGUAUGCCUCUAGCGAAGGUGCGGCAGAUUGCGUGGCCGCGCCGCCUCAGCUGCCCGAAGAAGCUGCCGAAGGCGAAGUCGGCGUAGGUGACGCUCUGCCAGCGUGCCCUCGCCCUGAGGGGGCAUCCCUGCCGGGCAUCCGAAAGCACAGCCGCUCGCCGUCGCCAUCGCCGAUGCCUCUGAUGCAUCGAGCGUCCCAUGGGGCCACGUCACGUCUGCAGCCGCCGCCUUCAGGCAACUGGGUGUUUCCUGGCUUCCGCCGAGCCUUGCAGCUCUACCUAGAGCUUGUGACGGUGCUCAUGCGAUCAGCCGCCACCAUGCAUGCCACUUCAUCCACCGCCGCCACUGGCGCCGAGGAGCCGCAAAGUGCAGCGGCCUUCUCCUCCACAGCGACGUCAUCUACGGCACCAUCGAUCCCCAUCCUGCGACUUGGCUUGCACGAUGCGGAGCAGCUCAUGGCGCAAGUCCUCUUCACCGUCGACGCCGAAAUGUUGCACCUGACAGGCAAUACGUGGGGCAUUGCUUCUGGCGCUAGUGCGCGGGAAGGCGGCUGCACACGCGUCACCGGUGCCACGGACUACCGAAACCGGAACGGAAAGGGCACCAGCAGCGGCGACAUUAGCCUAUCUCACCUUAGGCAACGCUUCCUGCUGGCUGAUCAGCUGCAGUGCUCCGCCCCGGCGCAACUUCGCGGGCUGGUACAGAUCAAGGCGGCGGCGCUGGUCACCAUGGCGCGCCACCACCUCACGCAGCUGUCUCUCGUGCGAGCUGUGCAUUACCUCCGCGAGGGGCAGCAGUUUGCUCGCGUUUUCCAUCGGCAGGCAAAGCUGACGCUGGUGCCGGAGAUGCACGUUCUGCUGGCGUGUCUUGCGACGUGCAUGAGCCUGCGGCGGCUCCCAGACCUCCCAGAGCCGGCGGUAAAGAAGGGAAGAAGAAGCGAAGGCAGGGGCCACUCCGUGAGCAGCGGGGACGGGGAGGCGGCCACUGACGUGGCACUCGGCACCGCGCAUGAUGCGCUGUACGCCUCUGCGCAGGGCUGGAUCUCGGCGGAGCGAGCCACGUCCAUUCACGCCGGCAGUGACGAUGGCGCAGCGCCCCACGAGCCGCACUCGCUGAGCGGGCACCACAGCAGCCACGUCGGCAACGGCACCGGCGCCGCGGCCUUUGCUGUUCCCCCGCGAGAGGAGUCCACGGUGGCGCAGGACGUUGGGCUGCCGUACCUGCACCUGCUCGCCGCUGAGCGUGCCGCCUGCACCACCUUGCACACCCCACCAUCUCUCUCCCUACUCCUCUAUAUCUUGAAGGCAUGGACUGUCUUUCAUCUCGUGACCGCAGGCGAAGAGCUAGUCUGGUCGGACGUGGGCUGCAACGUCUCCUCACUGCUCACGACGCCACCGCACGCCCCGACGCCGCUGCAGCAGCAGCAGUCGAUACGCCAGAUGAAUGGGUCACCAUCGAUGUCGGCAGCCGUCCCGCGAUCACUGGCGCUGAAACCAGCGUCACCGUCACCGCCUUUUCUGCCGCUUCCCUCACCUUCUCACGCCACCACGACGCUCAACACCACAGUUGAGGAUCAGCAGCGUCGCGUGGCGCGACUCGACAGUCUAACAUCGACACCAACCAGCACCCCGACUCUGCGCAGCCGACACGCCACGGUGCCGACGGAGAUGCACCGCAUUCAGCUUGAGCCUGCCAUAAUGUCGGCGGCCACCGCCCGAGCGACAGUGCAAGCGGUAAAAGGCGAGGGCAAUGACGACGAGGGCUGCGGAGUGGGACGCGCCGCCACGGGUGUCGCGUACGUGAAUGCAAAGGGGGCCAACGAUGGCAGUGCCGACGGGAAGGUCACUCACAGUCUUCAGAGCCGCGGCAGCAGCGGCGUCGACAAGAGUAGUGCCGUGAAUUCAGAGAGCGGCAUUGGCGGUACGCAUGUACGAGGCAUCUGCACAAGCUUUCGCGGCGCCUCAGCCAUGGCCGCAACGGCUUCAUGUCCCGCGGGUGCGCACGUGAGAGCACUCCCGCACACGCAGAGGCACCGCGCCGGUGAUGUGCUGCAACGCAUGAUGGCCGUCCUCCUCGACCACUACGAGACGCAUGGCGUUUACGCGGCGCCCAUAACGGCAGCAGCGCCCUCGCUCUCCACAGAAGCUGAGAGGGCUACCCUUCAGCAAGUUCCUGCCGCUGCGUGGACGCCGCAAAACGUCGCUCUCUUCCGCCUCCUUCGCGGGGCGGUGCUGCUGUGCGAAAACAAAGACGAGCCGGCAGCGGCGCGGGAGCUGAAAGAAGCCACACACAUUGCGAAGCGGCAUCUCGGCGUCCUUCACCCGUACGUGGCCGAUGGGCUGGCGCUGCUGGCGAGCGCGUACGCUUCGCUCGAUGUGGACGCUGUGCCGAGCGGCGAUAGCCAUAGUCACGGUGAGCCCUCCGGCUCCGCCACCUCACCGUCGCCACAGCAGGUGACGGGAGGCGCAGCUCGAACACGGAAGGUAGCGGUGCAGGUCGCCAUGCGCUGCAGCUGCAUGGCGCUGGCCUCCCUCUACGCAACGUCGGCGGCCAACGGCAGCGAUAGCGUCGAUGCUGCUGGAACGACGACGGCACAGCAGCAGCAGCAGCAGACGGCGCCCUUAUCCACCAUAGGAGCACGUCUUCAGGAGUGGUGGGGCAGCCAAGUCCUCCACGGCUUGUGUGGCAGCGGCAGCGGUGGGUACAAUGCAAAUGCGGUUCAGCAUCUGCGGCUUCUGUUCGGUUGGCUCCCGGGGUCGGCAGAGUACUGCUUCUCGUAAAAAUAGCUGUCUGCGAACGGGCCACGCACGCUCACCCACUCACGUACGUCUCCGACACCGAUCUUGUGAGUUGAUCCUGUCACUCUCCGGCAGCAUUGAUCACUCUGCAGUUGUAUAUGUAUAUGUGUGUGUCUGUGGAAUGCCGUCUGCGUUCACUCGCAGCGACUCACCUACGCGUGCAUGCGCAAGUCUGCGCCAGGGCCAGCGCUGACUGAUAGCCUCGAUGGUUCUCUCCCCCCCUUGCUUCCCUCUUAUCUUUGAUGUGUUUCUCUCCUUGAGUCGCCCUUGAUCCACUCGUCGCAGUGCGGGUGCUGCUGUAGUCGUUAUUGUUGCUCUUGUGGUCGCCUCAGCAGCGGCAGCAGCGGCAGCAGCAGGGCGGGCACGCAAGAAGCGGAAAGACACCAAGAGGUCAGGGGCAUCGGGUACGUCUGCUUGUUUCGUUGGUUGCGGCCGGACCCCACCCCCCUCCCCACACACGCCGCCCUCUAUUCUCUCUCUCCUCACUGUUUAGACAAGGAAAAGCACAUCAAGAUAGAUGAUUUCGAAAAACCAAGCUCAACGAUG
rnacentral:misc_RNA from 1 species